UAAAGAUAUAUAUGGUUUAUUUACAAUCUCAAAAUUACAAAAUCAAUACAGCCAUUGCAAGAUACAGAUUUCAGGAAAGUCUGCUCAUCAUGUCAGCUUUAUUUAAUCUCAAUUCAUUUACAAAUAGUAAUGCAAAGGUACAAAGACUGAAGCCUCGACACAACGAAAACGGAUACAACAGAAGGCUGUUUCACCUUCUUUGAGCACACAUAUACGGCCAACUUCAUCAGCACACAAAUAUACGGCCAAGAUUUUGAAUAGUCUGAUUUUACAUUUUACAAAUAUAAAAAGCACAUUUUGAAGAACGCAUUUAAUCCAUUAAUUUUUAAAGGGUUGGUUAAAAAAAGUACAGAUUUGCCAAGCUGUGCUGCAGAACACUACAUUUUGCAUAUUCGAAGAACAUAUCAGUGUGUCCUGUUGCUUAUACACUACAGGUGUAGUACACUACAAGUGUAGUACACUACUACAGGUAAAGUACACACUUGUUACCACAGUAAGUAAAGAGCAUUCUGCUUAGAAAAGCAGCACUGUACUCAAAAUGAAAACACAUUGUAUAACAAUUUAGCUGCCAUCAUAUGAGGCUUAAAUCAGCGUCCUGCUGUCCUCAGAAUGUAAAUAUUUCAUAGCCGUUUGUCUAAUGUCCCUUGUUAAUGUUGAGCUUCUCAGACAAACUGUACAAGUGGACCUAUAUAUUGUAGAUACAAGCAUGAUUUGUCCUCCACGUGACCUAUGUACUUUGACUUUGAGUUAUUUUCUUACUGUUGAGUUUAACAGCAAGAAAAUAAUCAAAUAAUUCAAAGAUGUGUGUUAAGAAAAUAUUAUUCCUAUAGUAAUAGGGGAUAUCUCAGUAUGAUAUUUAAACAUAGGAAACAUUUUAAAGGGAUAAUUAACUUUGGCUUUUUUUCUUCUUUUACAUUAGCAGACCGGGCUAAUAUCAGAAUCUAUUGUAUAGCUUCUCAAUGAAUUUCACUAUUGGACAAUUUGAAAUUGCAAAAAUGUGUGGAAAAAGUACAGAAAAAGUCUGAAAUAAAGUAAUAUAGGAUUUUGGUCUUCCCUCAUACAUAGAUGAGAUCAAAUUCAUACCAGCAAUGACCAUAAACAUAUAACAGUGUCUUGUAAACCUGAACAGCCUCUUGGAGAUUUAAAGUUUAUUAGAAGAUAAUGCCUGUGCCUGUACCAAAAUACAGUUUGUCUUUGCAACAAAUAACGGCCAAGCAAUUUUAGCAUUAGAGGGUCUGGACGUAACAUUUCAACUGUUUGAAAUAUAUAUUUAUACUUUAUACUACAGUCUGUAAACAUUGUCAUGAUACCAAGAAACACCUGAACACUAAUGCAUAUUAAGGUGGCAGUAACAGGCAAAAGAUAAGCAAUAAUAGUUGACUACAUAAUCACAAAAAAAACUCUCAAGUAUAACAGAACAAAGGGGUAAACAGGCCGGUGAGACAUAUCCUACAAUACCUCUUCAAAAUGUUUAGUUCACCAGAAAAAAAAAAUACAUUAAAAAAUAAAAUACAAAAAUGAAAUACAAACUGCAGCAAUAACAUAUUGCUGCACAAUCAGUAAGGUAUCAGUGCAUUUUCUUCACUUUAACAUCAUUGCACAAAGAAGCACAAAUAACAUUGUUAUUAGUCAUAAAGAUAUAUAUAAGCACAUACAUUGUAGUGUGAAAAGGAAUACGUACCAAAUCAUAUAAUUUACAUCUGCAUGGAAAGCCUGAAUGGCAUAUUUCUGAUGCCUUUGACUAAACAUUGCCAAUACAUGAUGCUGUGCCAAGAUUUGACCAAUCAUAACAAAGCCUGAAUAUUUAAGACACGUACUAUUCAGUCCACCACUUACUCCUGUAGUUUAAAAGACAGUCAAAUAAAGUAAAUGAUAACAUAGCCAGAAAAGGGAAAUAUUGGCUUAUAUGUUAAAUUUCAUGCACCGACAAAAUCAGAAUUACAUUUUUUUUUGUUACAGGAAAACAUGUAUGCACUCAUUCUAAAGAGGAAAAAAGGUUACACAAUUUAAAUUACAAUUAAAUAAAAAAAAGGACUGAAGAAAACGUAAAAAAGUAUUUGCAUGCCUAACCACUCCCUUUCAUUUAUAUAUAUCUUUUGAAUAUUUUUAUUUUUUCCUUGUUGAAGGGUCUGAAUGUUUGGCAGACUGUAGUAGAAUUUUUGAACAGGGUAAAAUAUUGUUCUAGAUUACACUGCAGUGUAACAGCAACUUAAAAUCAGGCAUCUUUUUUAUUCUUUUAAAAUGAUUCCACAUUUUUUAAGACUUGUGACUACAUUUUGAAUUAUUGAAAGAUGUUGUAUGAUAUGGUAUAACAAAUAUCAUACACUCUGGUACACAAGCUUAUGACGAGUACAGGAAGGUAUUUAAGUUUUGAAUUAAGUUAUGAAAGAAUUCAUACAUUUUAUAUUAUAUUAUAUAAUUAUGUUCAGUUUAUAUUGAAGGCCGGUCAUGUUGCAACACAGGAAUAUGACCAAUGUUAUUUUCUACAAUAAAAAUAGAUUCUUGCAAACUUCUAUCCAAACAGUUUAAGGGGACCGAUUUCCCAAAAUGUUCUUAUAUUAAAUCAUCUUACCGAAAUAACAAAAAAUACUUGCUGAUUAUGUACAAAUUUACCUAUUUUAUAUAUAUAUAUAUAUAUAUAUAUAUAUAUAUAUAUAUAUAUAUAUAUAUAUAUAUAUAUAUAUAUAUUAUACACAUGUAUAUAUUUUUAUAUAUGCCUUUUUUAAAAAAUACUUUUUUGUUUCCUUGUUUUUUAACAAGGCAAGUGAGGUAAAAUAUAGGGAAACACCUUUGAGUACACCUAAAUUCAUAGUGGAGGGAAAAUUAAUUUAACAUCAUGACGUUUCCAAGUUUAGAAAAUAAAGUGCAAUGCCAAAUCCAGAAAAGCUAAUUGAGUGUAAACCAAUGAAAAACCGAGGUACAUGAUGUGGAAAAAUUUAUGAAUUGGAUGAAAUCAAAGAGCCUAGAAAUAAAUCCCAAUGAAACCAAAAGGCUUUCAAAUCACAGAGUGGAGAAAUAUGUCAUGCAUGGGAAAGCAUUGAAAUGUUUAUAUGUUCCCAUAACGAAGACAAUGAUAUUAGGUUUGAAGACGAGACAUACCAACGAACAACUGGCUGAGAAGAUGGCUUCAAAUAAUCAAAAAAAAUGGGCCUGUUGUGAAUGUUUCUUUGUUCCUAUAGUACCAAACAGGUUGAUAAUCAGAUGAAAAACAGAACUUGAUUAUGCAUUAUUUUUUACCAAUGCUGCCCCACAAAUGUAGGCAGCCCAACUGUAUUUGUAAUGAAACAUGAUACACCAUUAAAGUAAAGCCAAACUAUUUGAAAAUUAUAUUGGAACUGUUGUUUUAUCUCCUAUGCUUCAUAUAUCCCAUAUAUAAUUCGAAGGCAUUUGUUAAGUCUACAUUUGUUCUGCCUCAUAUUCCCAAAUAAUUUGAUUAUUUUGCAUAUGCAUGAUUAUGCAGGAUAAAAUUAUCUACUUCCUUUGGAAAUUCAUGAAAAAUAAAUUUCAUUUAAAGUCCAAAGGACAAUGACUUCCGACCGCUGACAAAAAAAAGGUUAACUAAACAGUGCAUGAAGAUUUUCGUCUCUGGUCUUGUGCAGACCUAUUCAUAAACGGUGUUUGAAAGGGAAAACUCAGUCAUCUAAUAAGGCAGAGACAGGCAAGCACAGUGAUCUCAUGCAUAACUGAAGAAACCAGGUCUGAAGUCUCUUUCCAUUUAAACACACAGAGGAGCUCCUUUGAGAGUCAAGAUAUUUCUUUUCAGGAAAUUGUUUAAAACAAAACCAAUUCAACCUGACAGGCCACACCACAUAGGCACGGAAUGGAUGAUAAUAACGUAAUCAAACUUUAACAGGAAAACACACACUAGGACGGACAAAUACACCGACGGACAAACUGAUUUGGCACGGAACGAGAUGCAGUGGGUAAUGAAAGAGACGAGCACACCACAACAAUAGCAGGUGUUCCAAUGCUAUUUAAAAAAGGGGAAGGUGAGAGGUAAUCUAAAGUAUCGGCAGCUCGCUCUGGGCAUGCCAGCAAGGGAAACACCAAGCUGCCUUAUUAAAUAUGUUUUUUUUAAAGCAAACUCCCUUAAAAUCAACGUGCACGCAAAGGUCUACAUUAAAAUCUCAAAAAAUAAACACGUGGGGGUAUUUUUUUUUUUUUAAACACAUACUAACAUACAUAUCUAUAUAUUCCAUGUUCUAUAAUUGCGAGAUCCGCUAUCCCCGAUAUCUUUUUUUUUACCUCCAUUCUGGUCAACAUGUCCAAUAAAAGAAAAAG
ensembl:lncRNA